rnacentral:lncRNA from 1 species
GUUUUCACGAACCCACAGAGACAGAAACCUGCGGCAAUGGAGAAAAUGCUAAUACAGACAUCUUACUUCAGUGUCUGGCAAACAAGAUUAUACACUGAGGACGAUGUAGACGUCAGCUUCCCUGACGAGGGAAGCUGCAGCUUUCUGAUGAUUCCUGAAGCCUACAUUCUAUUAAUUUCCCCGAAGAGCCCUAUUGCCUAAUGGAACAUUGUGAGAAUGGCCAGUCUGGAAAGCAGGAUCAGUGGAGCUGGCUUCUGGCUCACUGGCUUUCAGCUGAGCCUUCCAAAUGGCUGGGAAUGAACAUCCAGUUAGAAGCCUCGGUUUGGAACAGUGGUUCUCAGACUUCAUGGUGUGUGACAGUCACUGGGGAACUUGUCCAAACACAGAUUGACAGACCCCAUCCCAAAGUUUCUGAUUCAGCGGCUCUAGGGAGGGCCCUAAGAACACGAGCUCCUCUUCCCAAGCUCCCAGGUGACGCUGAGGUUGCUGCCCCGGGAGCCCACUUUGAGAACUGCUGAUCUAGGGUGUGCUGGGGUAACUCUGGCUGUCAGAGGGGUCAGGACACUUGGUCUCCUUCUCUUUGGUCUCACUGAGAAUGUGAAUGUGAAUGGCCUUUUGAGGCCACUUGCACUGAGUCCUCUACAGGGCACACUGGACGGCGGGGGAGCGUCUGGAAGGGGUCUGCACACCGGCUUGCAGCCUCAGUGAUGCUCAUCUAGUGCGGGUCCUGCGUGGUCCCCAGAGGAACCCAGUGAGAAAUCCGGAGGAGACGGUGAGUGUGUCACGUGGCGUCCACACCAGACCCCUGCUUAGGCUGCAGCUCACACGAAGGAUGUUGGUCUGUCUUUGAACAGACAGGUGGGCCCUGCAUUUCCGGGAGCUUUGGAGGGUAUUUAAAAUACUUUCCUCUGACUUGGUUUAAACAGAAUAAUGAACACCUUUCUCCACGAGAGCAGCAUCUAUUUGUGUUUUCCAAAGCCUGAGUGUCUCCAAGGAAUCUUACCUUGGGCUGAUAAUUCUUCCCUCAAGACAGCAGUACCUUUGACACAGGACACGCUCCAAAGCCCAGCGCCCCUACCUAAGUCAGACAGGAGGGCAAAGCCCAGCGCCCCUGCCUAAGUCAGACACGAGGGCAAAGCUCAGCGCCCCUGCCUAAGUCAGAGAUGAGGGCAAAGCCCAGCGCCCUGCCUAAAUCAGACAGGAGAGCAUAGCCCAGCGCUCCUGCCUAAGUCAGACAGGACGGCAAAGCCCAGCACCCUGCCUAAGUCACACACGAGGGCAAAGCCCAGGAGUAUCACUCUGUUGCCCAGGCUGGAGUGCAGUGGCGGGAUCUUGGGUCACUGCAACCUCUGCCUCCUGGGUUCAAGAGAUUCUCCUGCCUCAACCUCCUGAGUAGCUGGAAUUACAGGCGAGCACCACCAUGCCUGGGUAAUGAUUGUAUUUUUAGUAGAGACGGGAUUUCACCAUGUUGGCCAGGCUGGUCUGGAACUCCUGACCUCAGGUGAUCCACCUGCCUCAGCUUCCCAAAGUGUUGGGAUUACAAGCGUGAACCACCGGGCCCAGCCAACAAAUGUCUUUUGAAGGCUGACUAGGCCCAGGGCGUGCUUCCUGGCGAGGGAGAUGUCAUAGUGAAAGGCGCUCCCUGCUCUCACAGAGCUCACGCCCUAGGGUAGAGACACACGGUAAAGAAAUAAGUGAAAAAUCAAGCAUAUAGGUACUGCAGUCAGACACUCGUCCAUGUUUUGAAGCAAGUAAAGCCAUAGGCGACAGAGAUUAAGAGGUAUGGCGUCAAGGAAGGCCCUUCUGAGGUAGCGACACUUAGCAGAGACCACAGUGAGGCCAGGGGAGGGAGGAGGCUCAGUGAACACUGUGGGGGGCGUCCAGGCACCGCUCUGUGGGGAGGAUAUGCUGGGCCUGCUGCUGGAGCAGGGACGAAGCCAGCACAGCCUCUGCCCACAGAGGGGCCCAACACCACCAGGAAGAAACAGCUCAGGAGGAACCAGGGCCACAUCCUUCAGGCCGCACAUCACCCGCAGCAGAGAUCUGGAAUGUGCCCCAGCUGGGAGGCAGAAGCCGUUGGAGGGUUGAGAGCAUGGGGACCUUAUUGGCGUUUAAAGGGUCACUGACUUCCGGGUAGAGGAUCCGGCCACCCCUUGCAAGGUUGGGGGUCAGCUGGGGGAGCCAGGGACCUGGACUAGAGUGAGGACGAGGGGCUGGGACUUGGUCAGAUGCAGAUCUUGAAGGUGUCGUAGACAGGAUUUGUACUGGACUGGGUGCAGACGUGGAAAAAAAGGAGGAUGAAUCCCGGCAUUUUGGUCCCCGUGGUGACGUGAGCUCCUGUUCACUGAGCUGGAGCCCUCCGCGGGGAGAGGGUGCGGGGUCGGAGAGUGGCGGGAGUCAGGUGGGUCCAUGCAUUCGGUUUGGAUCGAUCUCUUCGGCAUCCUGGGGGAAAUGCCCAGCAGGCGCUGGGGAAGUUGAGGCCAGAGAGCAAAUGUGAGAAUCGGCCAUGCACAGACGGCAUGUGAAUCCGUGGGAUUGGUCGGGUCACCUGGUGGAAAUAGAGGUGAGGCAGAGGCUUGAGUUGGGAGGCCUGCGGUGUUUAGAGGUGAGGAAGAGGAGAAAGACGCAGCAAAGGUGACUGAGAAGGAGCAGUCCGUCUCAGCAUGCAUGCACCUCCCACACAACACGGCCUGUCCUUACUGCAGUGGCCCUCAGGCUCCCUGGGUGGUUGUCACUAAGCAGGUGGACGGUACAUUCUCUCUUCUCCUUCUCUCAAUGGAAGCACUGCCAUUUCUUAGAUGGAAAUUACAACAUCUGUAAAUGCCCUCAAAUUAUCUUCAAAAUACUGUAUGUCAUGUGCACUUGUCUGGGUAGAGGGUGCAGAGUUUCCAACAGAUUCUUAAGGCAAUGCUAGGGAAUAUUUCCCAAUAAAUUCUAAAUAAAAAAGAAGCUAAAGUAAUAAAUUUUUACACUUAUCAAGCACAGGAAGAGAACAAAUCCUUUCACCCAGAUUUAAACUUACAGAAACUUGGCAAAGUAAAAAUGAAUAAAGAAUCCAAGUACCUUACAAAUAUUCCCACUGGGGAAAGCAAAAGUCAACCUCUGUAACAGAGAAAUGCAAAUCAAUCAAUGUGCAAAGGGCACUUUCCACCACAUAUCUGUCCAUGUCAUUAACUACUGAUAGGAGAAUUGGGUAAUUGCCAAGUUACUUGUAAGAAGAACCGAGCUAUAUCAGUAGUGAGAUCUAAAAUUGGAUAAGAUUGUGCAAGCAAAAGGAAUAGAAUCAUUUCUUAUUGAGGCAACCAUGGAAAGAAUCUUAGAAAGUUUCUUCUAUAGCUACUACACGCUUCUUUAAUAUCAUCACCAGCACUUGAACUGGAGAGCAAACUAGGGUUUGCUAGUUAGGGUUUCUUCAAAACAAAGCUUGACUUCUGUUUUGGAUUUCCAUGCAGCUUGCAUGCAUCCACACAUUUAAGACUGCAAAAGAAACAAAGAUGAUGGGAGAUAUUUUUAGAAUCGGAUUCAACACCGGUACAUAUCUUCCUGUUGCAAAGUGCUCUUGAUUAAGCCAAGUAUACUUGUAUUAUUGUCUUCUCAUUGCAGGACAGAGAGGAGGAUGACUUCCUUUUGUAUUACAACGUCAUGAUUACAAAUAAUCAUAAUAGAGUGCCCAUUUUAAAGUGGCCUUUCCCUCCAAGCACACAGGAGACUCCCUCAGAUUCCCUAGGAAACCAAAGAAAUACUGAAUCUACUCCACAAAAGGUACUUGGUUGGCUGCUUCCCCAGGAACAUCCCUCCAUCCUCACGGGUAUCCCGCCAUGGACCUCGGGGAGCCCUGGACAAACAUGCAUGUGUGCGACGCUUGUAACAAACCUGCAAGGUAGACCUCAUACAGCCCAGUUUUGGAAGAGGGAGUUGAGUUUUAGAGCAUUUACAUAAUUUGCCCAAGGUCACAAGACAGCUACUCAGUGGUAGAAAGAUACUUCAAACGCAGUUCUGCUGGGCUCCCACUCCUGCACCAGAACCAUUAUGCUGUAGUAUCUAUCAUCGUGUCCUCGCAGUGACCUGGGAAGAGAGGCUGUACUGCAGGCGAGGAAAGACAAAGUGACUCGCUCCAGGCUGUCCAGCUCCUGAGUGACCGGCUCAGCCUUCCCACCCAGCUCCCCUACCCUGGCGUCCAAGAUCUCAUUCCUUGCCUCCCUCUUAACUGACUUGAACACCUGAAUGGUGUCUUCGAGUAAAUGUAACAGUCAUAAGAGGACAAACAAAAACCCUUGCCUAAUACUCAGUCCCCAGUAUUUCCCACUUUUCAUCAUUCCGUUCCUUUAGCUGUCUUAGAAAGGUGGUUUCAGUGUAUAAAUGUAGCAGGUGGAAGAAGCUGUUGUCUUGCUCAGAGGCCGGAAAGCUGCUGACAUUUCCUCCUUCUCUGUUGAGUUAAUCAGAAAUUAUUUGGCAGGAGACCCGGGUAUUAUUUUAGAAGGCAGACGUAGGUGGGCUGACCAUCGGAAAAAGCAGUCUUUUCUAAUUCUAUUAAAAUAACAAAAAUGUGGGUUUUGGGGUUUUAUUUUGCCUUUUAAUUUCCAGAGAACAUGAUACUAUCUAUAUAGUUAUUUUGGGUUUUUGCAAAAUUAUCUUCUUUUCACAAGAAACUCACCAUUGCACGUAAGAAGCAUCAUAUUGUCUGAGGAGUUCUCAGAUAUAUAUAUCGCUCUGCCCGGGUAGAGAGUAGUCAUGUUUUGUACUUGUUUUUCUUUGAAAUA